UAAUUCGGGAAUGAGAUACGAGAUUUAGGAUUUUUCCAUUUCCAGUUUCAGAUUAUUGAAGGAUUUUUUUUUCUAUUAGUUUUCGGGUUGCUAUUUAGGGUUUUGAAUCCGUUUCUUGCGAAUCUUAAUAGGGGCUAAGCAGAUCUUAUCGUCAAAGCCAUUGAUUCCUUUAAAUCAAUCAAAUGCUUCAAUCUUUCGGACACACACAUGCUCUCUGUUUGGAUCUGUUUCUUUCUCUCUCAAAGAAAUGGCUCUGAGGUCUUUGGAUAAUGCUCUCCCGACAACACCGGAAAGGCCCAAAAAGCAAGCGAAAGUUGUAGUUUCAAUUCAGAAACAGUCUGAUUUUGGUGUGAAUGAUGAGAACAAAGCUCCAUUGCCACCAACUGCAGAUGCCACCAACUGCAGAUGCCACCAUUGACUACAUCUCUUCUAAGAAUCUUAAAGCCAUGCCUGACCCAAAAACCCAGAUAAUUGGUUUGACUGAGUGAUUGGAUUCCAAGGAUUAGGCCAAGGUGUGUGAAUCUCUGAAUGACGCUAGGCGGUUUGCGCUGUAUCAUUCCGCUCUGAUGGCACCGAUCUUAGAAAAAGUGUUGUUGGUGCUGGUGAAGGCCAUGAAGAACCCUAGAAGUGCUCUGUCCAAGACCUCUAUUAUGGCUUCAACUGAUAUCUUCAAUACUUUUGGUGAUGAGUUGCUUCAGCCCCGCCCCGCCCCGCCCCGGGUUUGGGACGGGUUUGGGAAAUAACUAAAUAUUUUGGGACAGGAAUGGGAUAGCGGUGACCCGUCCCAAACCCGCCCGUUGCCAUUCCUAGAAGAGGGUAUCAAACCAGAGAACCUACACCACAGAGAACUGGCCUCUUUCAAAAAUGCAGUUGCAGGCAAAGAGCAUUCCAAAGGUAAUAUUCAAGCAAUAAAGCAAUAAAUGAGAUAAUAAAAUUGACAUAAACUUUUAAAAAAGAUACAUUUUAUUGAUCAUUUGAACAAAAUGUACAACAACACUCUUUUACACUUGAUGCAAAAAGGAAAAUCUAGAAGAGGAUAAGAGAAUUUACAAAGGGAGCAUACACUUUAUGGGGUGGCCUUUUUUCUUUUUUCUUUUUUUGAUAGUUAAAUUUUUAUCUCCAUUAGGACUUGAACCUGGAACUCCCACAAAUCCUCCCCAUCCUUUUACCAGUUGAGCCAACACUUAAGCAUGCCUUCCAAAUUUUGAAUUAGGAGGCAAGUUGGUCGGACUAGAACCAAAAGGAAAGAGCAAAAAAAAUAAAGAAAAUGGCUGAUUACAAAACCAAAGCUAACACAUCUAGGAGAAGCUUAACUCCUAAAUUUUUUAGAUUCUAGGCUAAUAACUAGAGUUUAGAAAAUCACUAAUCAUGUUUUCGAGUCUAGAAAACAGUUUUCUGUUUUUAAGAACAAGAACCUGUUCUUACAAACAGUUUCCAAACGGGCUCUUAGACUCCGUAUCUCACCUAACUGACGUCCCCCUAGCUAGUAGUUGCCUGGAUCUUUCAUCACCUCCCUUGAGAUUUCUAU